rnacentral:rRNA from 1 species
UACGGGGGGGGCAAGCGUUGUUCGGAAUUACUGGGCGUAAAGGGCUCGUAGGCGGCCAACUAAGUCGGAUGUGAAAUCCCCAGGCUUAACCUGGGAAUUGCAUCCGAUACUGGAUGGCUUGAAUCCGGGAGAGGGAUGCGGAAUUCCAGGUGUAGCGGUGAAAUGCGUAGAUAUCUGGAGGAACACCGGUGGCGAAGGCGGCGUUCUGGACUGCAACUGACACUGAUGAACGAAAGCCAGGGGAGCAAACGGG